AUUGAACGCUGGCGGCAGGCCUAACACAUGCAAGUCGAACGAGUGGCGGACGGGUGAGUAAUGUCUGGGAAACUGCCUGAUGGAGGGGGAUAACUACUGGGAACGGUAGCUAAUACCGCAUAACAUCAGAUGUGCCCAGAUGGGAUUAGAUUGUUGGUGGGGUAACGGCUCACCAAGGCGACGAUCCCUAGCUGGGAUGAGAGGAUGACCAGCCACACUGGAACUGAGCCACGGUCCAGACUCCUACGGAAGGCAGCAGUGGGGAAUAUUGCACAAUGGGCGCAAGCCUGAUGCAGCAAUGCCGCGUGUAUGAAGAAGGCCCUCGGGUUGUAAAGUACUGUCAGCGGGGAGGCGUUACCCGCAGAGGAAGCACCGGCUAACUCCGUGCCAGCAGCCGCGGUAAUUC
rnacentral:rRNA from 1 species